UACGGAGGAUGCAAGCGUUAUCCGGAAUGAUUGGGCGUAAAGCGUCCGCAGGUGGCAAUGUAAGUCUGCUGUCAAAGCGUCUGGCUCAACCAGAUAAAGGCAGUGGAAACUACAUAGCUAGAGUAAGGUAGGGGUAGAGGGAAUUCCUGGUGUAGCGGUGAAAUGCGUAGAGAUCAGGAGGAACACCGGUGGCGAAGGCGGGUCUCUGGGCCGAAAUUGACGCUGAGGAGCGAAAGCGUGGGGAGCAAACAGG
rnacentral:rRNA from 1 species